GCCCCCAACAGGACCGCCGGGCUUGUAAUGAGCCCGGCGGUCCUGGUCUGUAUUAUGGCAAUGUAAGUUGCCAUAAUACAGAUAGUGACUCGAGUAUAAGACGAGUGGGGGUUUUUCAGCACAAAAAAUGUGCCGAAAAACUCGUCUUAUACUCGAGGAUAUACGGUAAUCUAUUCCAGAUCCCCCAAAUUACAGCAUUUUAACACAAAUUUUAAAGUUUAAUAAUGCC